rnacentral:lncRNA from 10 species
GUCUAGAAAGACUAAAUAGAAAAUAAACAAGUGUGUCAAGAGAAUAAUUUCAUGAAAAAUAAAUAGGAGGGAGGACAAUUGAAGCUAUACAAGGAUUUUCAUGAGACAGUUAAGUCCAUACUUUCCAAAGCCCUUGCUUCGAAGAAUGGUGAGGAGGAUUUAUAGAAGCUAGCAAGUUCAGGGAAUCCUAGCAUUAGCUCCACGAUGAAAAAAUACAUACACUCUUCAUGAGAAUAUAAAAACAGCAUUAUUUCUACCUGACAAAACUAACCUGGCUGGGGUGGGGUGAUCUCCUCCUGAAUGAAGCACAUAUUUAAUGCAUAACGAAAAGCUAGGCAAGACUAACGAAAGCUACUUGAAUUGUUCCAUAGUCAAGUUGACAGUCCUGAAUGUAAACUCAAUGUUUGCUGAAUAAAUAAUACCCAUUAAUACUUUUUCCCUCUUGAUCUAUAUCAAGCAUAGGGGAAACAAGUCAUUUUAGAAUUGAACAAGCGUUUUAGAAUUGAAAAUAGUAUUUUCACAACACUUUUAAAUUUUUUAUACCAUACAUAACAGUUU